GUAUUUUUCAGUCUAUGAGGACGGUCCGGUGCUGCUGUGGUUUCCCCUGUGGCCCUGCGGUUUGAGCGCAUCUUCUUUGGAGUUGACGAGGAAGUCCCUUUUUUCAGAUUCAAAGAAUGGGGCGUACCGAGGGAUUUCUGGUGCUCUUUGUGCUCGUCGUCAUCGAGAGAGUCGCCCUUAACAGCGGUGAGGGCUCUCCCGCAGUUGAGAACCAGGAGGUCUUUGUGCUGAAUCCCGAAGCAGGCGUGCGGCACUUCCGGCAGGGAAAGGAGGACCUUAAUGUCGACGACUAUGGGGACGACGAGCCACUUCUGGUUGAAGACCUCGUCAACAAGCGAGGAUUCGGGGAGAAGCGUGGCUUUGGCGAGAAACGUGGUUUCGGCGAAAAGCGGCGCUUCAAUGAGAGACGUCGGGUGCUGGAAAACUCUGACGUCAUCAGUCGAGGGCCGUACUUGAUGCCGUCUUCUCUGGUCUCACCCUGGGCCAGGGUCUACGGUCGUCGAUGAUCGGUGACCUAAUCGACGACAACUGCAUACGCUCUUCAAGCAGUGACCAUCAACCACCGUCCCAACCUCCCGCGAGGAAGCGGCGCCUG